AUGAUUGUUCUGUGACUGAGUGGCGGACGGGUGAGUAACGCGUAAGCAACCUGCCCUUCAGAUGGGGACAACAGCUGGAAACGACUGCUAAUACCGCAUAAGCCCACGGUGCCGCAUGACUUUGUUGUCAAAAGGAUUUAUUCGCUGAAGGAUGGGCUCGCGUCCGAUUAGCUAGAUGGUGGGGUAACGGCCCACCAAGGCGACGAUCAGUAGCCGGACUGAGAGGUUGACCGGCCACAUUGGGACUGAGAUACGGCCCAGACUCC
rnacentral:rRNA from 1 species